AGAACGAACGCUGGCGGCAUGCCUAACACAUGCAAGUCGAACGGGACCUUCGGGUCUAGUGGCGCACGGGUGCGUAACGCGUGGGGAUCUGCCCUUAGGUACGGAAUAACUCAGGGAAACUUGAGCUAAUACCGUAUAAUGACUUCGGUCCAAAGAUUUAUCGCCUAGGGAUGAACCCGCGUAGGAUUAGCUUGUUGGUGAGGUAAAGGCUCACCAAGGCGAGAUCCUUAGCUGGUCUGGAGAGGAUGAUCAGCCACACUGGGACUGAGACACGGCCCAGACCUCCGUACGGGGAGGCAGCGAGGUGGGGAAUAGUUAGGACAAGUAGGGCGAAAGGCCUGAUCCCAGAC
rnacentral:rRNA from 1 species